rnacentral:rRNA from 1 species
AUUGAACGCUGGCGGCAUGCCUUACACAUGCAAGGUCGAACGGCAGCACGGGAGCAAUCCUGGUGGCGAGUGGCGAACGGGUGAGUAAUAUAUCGGAACGUGCCCAGUCGUGGGGGAUAACGUAGCGAAAGCUACGCUAAUACCGCAUACGAUCUACGGAUGAAAGCGGGGGAUCGCAAGACCUCGCGCGAUUGGAGCGGCCGAUAUCAGAUUAGGUAGUUGGUGAGGUAAAGACUCACCAAGCCGACGAUCUGUAGCUGGUCUGAGAGGACGACCAGCCACACUGGGACUGAGACACGGCCCAGACUCCUACGGGAGGCAGCAGUGGGGAAUUUUGGACAAUGGGCGCAAGCCUGAUCCAGCAAUGCCGCGUGCAGGAUGAAGGCCUUCGGGUUGUAAACUGCUUUUGUACGGAACGAAACGGUGAGCUCUAAUACAGUUUGCUAAUGACGGUACCGUAAGAAUAAGCACCGGCUAACUACGUG